rnacentral:lncRNA from 1 species
CUCAGCUUCCAAGCUCAAAGGAUGGCUGAGAUAUCGCCCGGACAAACAAACAGGAAAACGAAGUACUCUCUUCGGAGCCCAGCGAUGACGUCAUGGCUCAACCCGGAUAUACAAUUGGGAAGGAGCGGUGUACAAAAUACACUUUGCGUUUUCUUAUUUUGAUCUUGUGUUGAUGCAUUAGUGUGGUGUUGAUUGUGGCGCAGGCACGAUGAAUAGCCUCCACCUGUGAUGUGUGAUGAACCACAUCACACCUGUGAAUGGCCUCCACCUGUGAUGAACAACAACUGUCUGAAUAGCCUCCACCUGUGUCUAAUUUCCUUGUGUUUCCUUGAGGUGAACAAGAUGGAUUUAACAACAAACUCUUACGAAGGAAAAACUGCAUAUAUGAAAAGAGACCUCUCUUUGGAACUGAACUCUCCGGGCAAGCUGGUGCAAUCCACACCCUUCCCCGGCAGUCCUGCGUCCCCACGCUUGAUGCACCGUGGGGCCGCGGCUCCACGGGAUGUCGGGCAGAGAGUUGCGGGGACGACCAGGCCGACUGGUUCCGUGGUCUACCCCGGAGUGAAAGUUAAAAAUCCAGUCAAGGAACAACUGCUGAGAUUACGGCAACAGAAACAACAGCUCCUUCAAAACAGAACGACUGAAGACCUUCCAGAGAGUGAAAACCAACGCCGUUUGUGUAAUGGGAAGCGGCAAACUGACAUGCUCAGCCACAUAGACAUUCCUCCAUGCAAACGUCAAUCCAAGGAGGGUCAAUCCUGGGAGCCGAGCGAACAGAUACCUGAAGAUGUGAUCAACCUCAUCAUUGAACACCAGCCCCAUUCUGCUUGUUCCGACUUCGUAUCGCCUCCUUGCACUAAGUCGACGCCCAGGUCCAUGCUGAGCGAAAGCCAAGUUUCAUUUUCAUAUACAAAGCAUGAUGUUCCCCAUGAG